rnacentral:rRNA from 1 species
UACGUAGGGGGCAAGCGUUAUCCGGAUUUACUGGGUGUAAAGGGAGCGUAGACGGCGAUGCAAGUCUGAAGUGAAAGGCGGGGGCCCAACCCCCGGACUGCUUUGGAAACUGUAUGGCUGGAGUGCAGGAGAGGUAAGUGGAAUUCCUAGUGUAGCGGUGAAAUGCGUAGAUAUUAGGGGGAACACCAGUGGCGAAGGCGGCUUACUGGACGGCAACUGACGCUGAGGCUCGAAAGCGUGGGGAGCAAACAGG